rnacentral:lncRNA from 1 species
UUUUUAAUGUGCAAUAUUAAGGCAGAGAUAAACAUAAGACAUAAGAAAAAUGUUUACUGUUAAAGUAAGGAAAACAAUAAAUCUUUUACCUAAAAACUAACGAAAAUAAAUUUGUGGAGCGUAAGAAUUGCUUUUUUUUUCGAGAAAAUUAAUCAAGAUAUAUUCUUAAAUUAUGUUUUCGUCCUUUAUCGAAGUUUCUUUCUAUAUUAAUAAGAUUUUAUUGUUUAAAACAUUCAUUUUCGGGUGUUGUUUUAUUUGAACCAUUUCAUUUCUCCAAAAUUAUUUUUUUGAAAAGUUUCUAAGUAAAUCAGUUGAAAAUGAAAUAAUAAAUAAUCGAAAGAUAAAAAUAACUCGAUAGUGUUUUUCUUCUGAAAAUAAAAGAAGAAAAAUUCGGUAGCAGAUCGCAUCAACGCGCAAGACACGAAAAGGAAAAACGAGAAAGUGAUUCAUAUUUGCGAUUAAUUGAAUUGUCAAAGCAGUUUAUCUCAACCACCAAUAAAGCAGAGGCCAAAGUUAAUUUUCCUUUUCGUCCGAAUUAGCCAGACUAUCCAAUUAUCUUUCCAACAUUAAUCGACCAAUUGAGUAGAGGCAAAACAUCUGGGCAAUUUUCUUUCAACAACUUUGUCUUUGACGUCACUGUAGAAAGGAUGUGGACUGAAAUAUGACCUCAAGAACGGUUUUAGACUAAACACGGCCAAAUAGAAGUGUAAGAAGAAUCUCUUCUAGCUCGUCGAGUAGUGUAGAAGUAGAUUUAGUUUUAAUCUCUUCAAGUGCUUGUAUAGAUCUUCUUACACCUCAUUAAGUUAUGACUCCUCUUUAAGCAAUAUGUUACCCAGAAAAAAAAAAAGAGCUAAAAUUGUUGUCGGAGAUCUGUAAAUGUUUUUUCCCCUCUCUUUACAGAAGCCAUAAAAAAUGCACAGCGGGUAUCUUAUUACGGAAGUCGCGUGCAUGUCUAAAAAAAAAAGAGCUAAAAUUGUUGUCGGAGAUCUGUAAAUGUUUUUUCCCCUCUCUUUACAGAAGCCAUAAAAAAUGCACAGCGGGUAUCUUAUUACGGAAGUCGCGUGCAUGUCUAAAAAAAGUUUUGUUUUAUUUUGGAUUGUAGUUAAGAAUUUCCGUAUCUACUUAUCAUCUUCUAAGUUUUGAGCAGAAGUAAAGCUUACCUAUUCAAAUAUAUACCCAAAAAAAAAAUUACUUCAUUAAGAAGAAAACUGCGAAUUUUAGAAAUUUUUGUUUGAUCUCUUUUUCUUGAUGCUCGUUUAAGAUGGAAUUAAUUAAUUCAAAUGUGAUGCAUGAGAUGUCCUGCAUAAGGAUGAAGUAAUGAUAUUUUUUUCAUGAUGAGUCAUAAGCAGAUGGGAAAUUUAUAAUCCUACAUUAAAGAAGGAAUGAAAACAUUCUUUGUGAAAGGAUAACCCAUGUUUACUCCCGAAGACAUGUGAGUGUAACAUAAUACAAGAUUAGCCGAGUGUAAUUCAGUCGUCUCGCCUCCUUUAAAGUUGACUUUGCUCUUUUCUACACUUUAUAUUGAAUCAACCAUAAUUACAUUCGUGUUUUCCGCAUUUUUACUCGACAUUUUCCCAUAAUUUUUUUUUGUAAAACAGUUUGUUUCCACGAUUUGAUCCGUGUCUCAGUUCUUUUCAUUCUUUCAACAUUCUUGUAGGCAGUUUUUAUAUAUGGUUACAUCUAAGACAUUUGCACGAAAUUAGUUUAUUUUUCGCGAAAUUUAUUGCCAUGGUUGUUUAUAACUUAUUAUAUGAACGAAUGUUUCGAAGAGCUCGAUAUUCACGAAUUCCAGAAAUAUUCUACGUGUUCUUUUGAAUCUUUCAAAAUUAGCUAAGUUCUCCGAAUCUUUCUUCUAACUAAAAGCUAGCUUGCUCUCCCGAAUCUUUCUUUAACUAAAAGUUAUUUAAUUCCUCUGAAUACUUCUAGUUAAAAGUUAGCUAAAAUGCUCUGAAUACUUGCUUGUAGCUAAGAAUUAGCAAGCUCCUCUGACUCUUUCUUCUAGUUAAAAAGUAGCUAGCUCCUCUGGAUCUUUCUUCUAAAAAGUUGACUAGAUCCUCUGAAUCUUUCUUCUAGCAAAAAGCUAGCUACGUUAUUUUUUUCUAGCUAGUUGUAGGCACGAUAUAAAUCAUAUUCGAUGGAAAAUACAAUAAAAAAUUACUCUUCAUUAAAGCUGAUGUAUCUGUAUAUAGAUAUUUAAGAUAUAUUCCGUACAGAUCUCUAUUUUAAAGUAAAAGAUUUAUAUGUCAUUAAGCUUCGUAACAUAAUUCUGUUUCAAUAGGCCAACCGUACAGAAUAAAUAAUGCAAAAAUAUUAGACCUAUAUAACCAUUCCUUUCAUUUAUUAUGCUUUUUUAUAUUAAAUAGCUGAUUUGCCUCUGCGGUUAGUUUUGUCACGUGCCAUAACUAUGUCACCGAUUCGAUACAUUUAAUUAAUUUAACCCAUAAACUUGAUACAUAAUUUAAUAAGCUUACGACAUUCUUAUAUCGACAUUCUCAAACAGAAUAUAACUCUUGCAAAUAGAGAUCGGUCUAUGUUUGAACAGUGUGCCGAUAUUCGAUAUUUGUCACCUUUAACAAUCCUUAAUCCCCUUGCAAAUCGUAUCGUUUUUAUAGGGUAUCAGGGAAAAAAAAUACUAAUGACUUAUUAAAUAAAGUGGUUCUUAGUCAACAGAUCUUUAUCUGGAUUUCUUUUCCAAAAAUCGAUUAAUGCCACAAACUCAGAUCGAAGAAGUGCAUUUCCUAGAAGCAAAGACCUAGAUAGACAUAUCAUGUACUCGCACACAAUGUAAUUUUCCGUAUUUAAAGAACGUAAUAAAUUUUUUAAUGGCGUAAUAAUUUACUAAGAAUAAAAUUAGAAAAUUUUAUAAUCUUCGCAUGUCUAUUCUAGAAUUUUAAUUUUGACCCAUCGAAUCGGACGUUUUUAAGACAAUUAGAGUCGUAACAGAUAAGAAUCUACUUUAUUAAGUGUGAUUUAUAGGUCGCAAUUUGAUGAUAAAAGAAAUGCUUAUUUACUCGAGAUAAUGUUGAAAAGGCAGCAUAAAUUUGUUGCAGGAUUUCAUCAGUGUUUGUAAAGAAAUUAAUUCUUUAUAUAUUUAUGCCAUUGGUACAGAUUUCGUUACUUAUUGAAGUCCUGCAACGUGGUGGAGAGCGAUAAACUUUGUUGUUACGUCAGAACAACUUAUUAUUUUUUCGUUUUUCGUAGCUUUAGAAUGUUUACACUAAUUAUAAAAUUAAACUAAUAGAAAAAAAUUGCGUAAAAAAAAUUAGAUAGGAAGUGGGAAGUUAGACUUAAUACCAAUUUUUACUCCCUAAUAAAAAAUUCAGAUGGAAUUGCAUAAAUAUUCAUUAAAAAUGGAACUGGUUUCAUUUAUUACUUUUCAUAAAAAUGAGAAUAACUCCCUAGGCUCAGGAAUUAGAAAUUUGGUUAUGGAAAUUUAUCUCAAAAAUAGAUAUAUCCAUACAAAGUGCUCUCCGUAUAUAUACAUUUUCCUCUUGUACAAAAAUGUCCUUGUUCUACAAGAAACAAUAAUUUCCGAAAAACGAAAGUCGUUUAGCUUUUAGAUCCAAGUUAAUUCGUUUUGUCUCAUAAUUCAGAAACGAGAGACAGAUAUUGCUACAAAGAGCUAUUCGCCCGUUUCUAAUUUCAGAUGUUCGGAAUGAAACAAAAACGAAUAAAAAAAAAUAUAUAUCCAAAAAAAAAUCUUAUCCAUAAGAGGAGGAAAAUAAAUAUCAGGUUUUUGUCCGACUAACAUUUUCAAACGUUCAUUUCUCAUCUUUGAUGGAUGAAAAAUAAUUUCUCUCUCUCUCUCUCUCUCUUUCUGUUGAUAGCAUACAAUAUAUUUAAUAAGAGAU